CCACAAAACAGGAUACUUGCUACAGAACAGGUUACUUGCAAAUAAUAAAGAAUGUCUGUAAUUUCCAGGUAGGGUUGUAACAAAGGCAGGCUGGUAACAGUGGAAGGCUGAUAACAGAGGCAGGCUGGUUACAGAGGCAGGCUGGUAACAGUGGCAGGCUGGUUACAGAGGCAGGCUGGUAACAGUGGCAGGCUGGUUACAGAGGCAGG